UAUUAUAGUGUUGGAGGCUGCGAAAAAAAUGGAUGUAAAUUCGAUGGAGGUGGAAGUAAUUCCCAUUUACCCACACGAUAUUGAAAACUACACCGAAGAGUAUUCAUAAGAUAUUGAUUACGCUGAUGAAUGUAAAAAUAAGAAAAUGAUUGGAACGGGAAUUAAGCGUGUGCAUCAAUCGAAUCAAUCAAUAAAAAAUAGUGAUUGUACAGAAACUUGCAACGCAAAUAAAAUCGAAUCCAUAUUUUCGGGGAAUAUAUGUGUACAUAGAAUAGAGAACAACAAUUCAUUUUCAAUUUUACAAUUUAUCCAAAAAAAACUACAGAUUUCAUAAACGUAUGGAAAAAUGCAAUAUUAACACAUGAAGCUAUAAAAACUUCACUAGAUCUAGUAACUGUUUAUAAAAAAUUUAAUAUUAAUAGGGAUGAUGUAGAUAUACCUACUAUAACUCAAAAUCGAUCAAUUCUACCAUUUAUUUCAACGCAAUCAAGUAGUAUUCCAAAUGGGUUAUUACUAUUACACAUCUACUGCAAAAAAAGUCCGGAGAGGAUGAAACGCGUGGGAGCGGAUGGGUUUUUAGUGCAAUAUUUUUUUUGGAUAUUAAUAUUUUUAAAUAUGAUCCAAUGAGGGGUGGGUGUUAUUUAGAUAUACCAAAAAAAUUAUAGCGCAAAAAUGCCAUAGUUUAUGUUAAAUGUAGGGAACAAGACUGUUUUUAUUGGGCCGUGGCUGCGGGUUUAUUUCCGGUUCAGUCACGUUAUGUAGAUGCGACUAAGCCAGAGUCAUAU